UGCACUGUGGCUUAGCGUUUAGCGCGUUGGCCUCACACCUCCAGUGUCGGGGGUUCGAUUCCCACCGGGGCCC